AGCAGCCGCGGUAAUUCCAGCUCCAAUAGCGUAUAUUAAAGUUGUUGCAGUUAAAAAGCUCGUAGUUGAAUUUCGGGAUCAAUAUGUUGGUCGUGCCUCGGUACGUACUGGCAUUAUUGGUUUCUACCUUCUGAAGAACCUCGAUGUCAUUAAUUUGGUGUCUUGGGGAAUCAGGACUGUUACUUUGAAAAAAUUAGAGUGUUUAAAGCAGGCUCACGCUUGAAUAUAUUAGCAUGGAAUAAUGAAAUAGGACGUUUGAUUCUAUUUUGUUGGUUUCUAGGAUUGACGUAAUGAUUAAUAGGGAUAGUUGGGGGCAUUAGUAUUCAAUUGUCAGAGGUGAAAUUCUUGGAUUUAUUGAAGACUGACUACUGCGAAAGCAUUUGCCAAGGAUGCUUUCAUUAAUCAAGAACGAAAGUUAGGGGAUCGAAGACGAUCAGAUACCGUCGUAGUCUUAACCAUAAACUAUGCUGACUAGGGAUCGGAUGAUGUUAAUUUUUUUAAUUAGACUCA
rnacentral:rRNA from 1 species